rnacentral:rRNA from 1 species
UGAGGAAUAUUGGUCAAUGGGCGGAAGCCUGAACCAGCCAAGUCGCGUGAGGGAGGACGGUCCUACGGAUUGUAAACCUCUUUAGCCGGGGAGUAAAGUGCGUGACGUGUCACACAUUGAGAGUACCCGGAGAAUAAGCAUCGGCUAACUCCGUGCCAGCAGCCGCGGUAAUACGGAGGAUGCGGGCGUUAUCCGGAUUUAUUGGGUUUAAAGGGUGCGCAGGCGGCUCGUCAAGUCAGCGGUGAAAGCCCGGGGCUCAACCCCGGUAAGCCGUUGAAACUGGCAAGCUGGAGUUCGGGCGAGGCAGGCGGAAUGCGCGGUGUAGCGGUGAAAUGCAUAGAU